UCUUAAGAAAAUAUAUAUAAGUUUUCGUUGUAAAGCUCUUUUUUUUUCUUAUUGGGAAAUUUUAUUGAUGAAUUUUUUAAAAAAGGUUUAAUGGGAUUUUGUAGAAUCCAACAGAAAAUUACAAUCCUCACACUUACAUAUCAAAUAUAAACAAAAAUAAUAAGGAAAGGCAGAGGCAAAUUACAGAAGGCAGUGAAGAAUUUUUGUGAUAAACAAAUUUCUCUCAAAUCCCAAGAUAGUUGGCUCUCGUAACCGGUUUGCAUAUCAUCAAACAUGCGAUUCAGGAAAGGCAGUAAAGUGGAAGUGUUGAGCAAAAAGGAGGUGCCCUCAGGUUCCUGGCGUUCUGCUGAGAUUAUGUCUGGAAGUGGUCACUAUUAUACUGUUAGAUAUGACAAAUUUGAGGAUGGCAGUAAUCAAACUGUUGUGGAGAGGGUAUCGCGUAAAGCAAUUAGGCCUUGUCCACCUUCUCAAGAAAUUUUAGAGAAUUGGAUUCCUGGCGAUGUUGUGGAGGUAUUUAAUGACCGUUCUUGGAAAAUGGCCACGGUUUCUGAGGUUUUGGGGAAGAACAACUAUGUGGUCAGGUUACUUGGCUCUUCUUGUGAGUUUAAGGUCAGCAAGUUCGACAUCCGAGCAAGAAGAUCUUCACAAGAUGACAGAUGGGUUUUGAUGCACAAGAUGUCUGGCAAUCAUGGUGAUGAUAGCAAGGAAGAUGAGAAGGCAAGCGUUAAGUUUUAUGAUCUGAGCUCACAAGUUCAGAAAUGCCAAAAUGUUCCUAAUUUAAUAACCUGGAAAAGGCGAUCGAACAAUGACUAUUCUCAAGCUGAAACAAUGGGUAGAGCUGGCUUGAAAUGUAGAAUUUUGAAGAAAAAGCGAAGGUCUCAUGAAGCCGUUGGAGGCAAUCCAUCCAUGUUGCACGAGCAUGUAAAAUCACUCGUUAUCCAAAGGGGUAAGCUUGGGGGAACAUCUGGAGGUGUUUUUUCGGAUAGAACCAAAAUUUGUGAAGUGAAUGGCGAUAGGAAGAAACAAAUGGAUGUGGGUUACCAUUCAUUUGACGAGAACGUUGAACUAAAUGAUGCUGAUAGAGCUACAUGCUCAGUUGGUAGUUGCAGCAUGUCUAACAGUGACGACCGUGGGUUACCUUGUCAUGUUACGAUUGGCCGUAAUGAAGAUACAGAUGGUUCUACAAGUGAUGCUGAAUCUUUUUGUCCUUCGGGAUAUGGAAUAGAUGAUUUUCUUCUAUCCAGAGACAAGCCAUUGGAAGCUGAAGUCCAUAGGUUAGAGUUACAUGCCUAUCGAUGCACUAUGGAGGCAUUAUAUGCUUCAGGUCCUUUAAGUUGGGAAAAAGAACUUUUGCUUACUGAUCUACGCCUGUCUCUCCAUAUAUCAAACGACGAGCAUUUGAUGGAAAUAAAAAACCUAGUUUCCACAAGUAUUUCAAGUAGAUGACAAAGUCUAUCCUGUGAUAGCUUUAUCAUCACUGUACCACUUGGAACUCUGAGAAAUCUCAUUUGAGAACAUUGUUGAUGCAUUGUUCCAGUGUUGAAGUUGGGGGCUCUUGCGUGCCACACUUCUACAUGUGUAAAUAAGAUUCUCCAUUCUUUUUGCACAUACAAUAUGAAAUAUUUAUCUACAUUUUUUGUGAAGAUGCAUUGAUUUCAGUUUAUAUGGGUUAUGGCAUCAAUUCAAUUAGGACAUGCUUGAGCCUGACAUCCUUCUCCCUUUUGAGGAUUGGACUCAUCUUCAUGUCUGGGGCUGUUCAAGCUCAUUUCUCAGUGGUUGAAACUUGAGAGGUUGUACUUGGAACCUUUAUAUCAUUCUUUUACAUAUGUCACUUUUCACUUGAAACCAUACAAUGACGUAACAUUCAAUUGUUUCAUGUAUUAUACUUCAAAAUCCCAUUGAAGCUUGCUGCUUGUUUCUGUCUCCAGAAGAUUGUCGUGAUAAAAUCUAUAAAAAAAAAAAAAGAAAAGAAAAGGAGAGAGAGAGAGAUGCAGCCUAGAAGCAUUUAAUUUGAAAGGUCUUGGUGUUUUGUUUGGAUAUUGUGUUGUAGGAGAUCUGUUCCUUCAGUGUAAAAGCAUUGAACGUUCUGACUGAGAAAAAGGGCAUAGUUGUUUCCCUAAGGAAAUUUGUUCUGAAGUAACGGAACCUCUAGAAUCUAGACUAUUAACAUUUUUUAGUUUAGUGGUCCUGGAAAGUGGGAACUUCAAUUUCCCUAUAGCUGUUCUAUUUUUGAAAUUGCCUAUUUGGAAGAUCAUUUUCGGCAGAAAAACACAAUGUUCUGUACAUAUUUUGUAAGUAUUGAAACUCUUUAUCUGCUAGGUUUCUAGGAUCUCUGCAGAUAACAUUGUUUCACUGACCCUCUCUUGACAUCCAUGUUCACUCUUAAUAUGUACACCACUAGUUAAGGAGCUAUCAAUUACGAUAAUUGGAUCUGUUUUUCUUCGAUGAACACGUUGACAAAAAAGUCAGUAACUCAGGAGAGUGAGUUUUCCACUACAGUAAAUUUGUAUAGUGUAGAAUUCAAUAAUGGCUAGACAACCUGGCAUAUGGUACAUGAUCUAGGUAACAUAAAGUAGAAUCUAUGAACUCUGUUUAUUCCUCCUUAUCCAUUGCAUGUUAUGCUCUUUUCAUAGUGUAAAAUGAAGGUUAAUUUCAAAAGGCUUGAUAGGACUCUUUCGUGCAUCCUGCAGACAUAUCAAGCUAGAGAUGUGUAUAGUUCCAGCUCGGCAUUAUAGCCAGUGUGGAACUUGUCUCAAAGCUGUGGGUGGAUUUCCCCUCAUGCUCCUCAAUUGCUUGCAGUUGCAUAAGAAGUGAGCAUUGCUCUCUAACUAUCAUGCUUAUUUUGAAUAUUUGAAUCCAAACAAACCUCAUCUCAUCAUUAGUUUAUUAUUUGCUUUACUUUCUUUAAUAGUUUGUGUGCUGAUCAUGGCUACUUGAAAUAAAUUAGUAGAACCACUGUUUAGAAGGGAGUUGCAAGUACAAAUCACAUUAAUUUGUUUAUACUUUCUUUACAGAUGCUAUCAACCACAAUGAUUUUUCUUUCUUUCUUUCUUAUUCUUCUCUCUCUCCUUUUACUUGAGUUGAAAUAAGACCUUAGCUAGGAAGAUUCAGAAUCUUGACUAGAUUUUACUCCAUGGCUAUUUUUUUAGGAAGAGCAUUGUAGUGGCUGUUUGCUGUUUUUGUUAGGCAUAGUACAAGAAUACAGCACUUGUUUCUCAAUUAUUUUGCUUUGUUUCAAAAUUUUCCUUCACGAAAACAAAAAACAAACAGGGUAUUUUGGCAUUAUUUGGUACUGAUGGGGCAGAGCUUCCUGUUUUUCUUGCUAUUUAUGUACUGAAUUGAUCUGAUACAGUUUGUCCAGUGAUUAUUAGAUAAAUUCUUGUCGAGGUAAAGUUAAUACAAGUUAUUUUCCAUCUGGUUUAUUGUUUGAACUCUAAAAAAUCUUCUGAAGUUUUCAUGUGAUCUGUUUGUUUGGAAUGAAGAACUCAGAAGUAAGUUGAAAUAUGGUUUCAUUUUCUGAAUUUUUAAAAUUUGAUUUUGCUCUAUAUAUGUUGUUUCUCUGAACUUUUGGAGCUACUUUGAAUCCUACCAUUGAACUUUACCUUUAAUCCUUUUCAUAGAAAUGAGAAUCCAUAUAUGUCAUAUGAAACUUUUGUAUUAUAUCCUAUAUUUCAAUAACAUGGAGUAGGAUUCAAGGACAAUAACUCAAUGUGUAGUUUAGAAAUAAAAAAGAAAAGACCAGAACAAAAUCUCAACCUAUUAAAAACAUUUUGAUGGUAUAAAAGCUUUAUGAAACAUUUAAUGUUUGAAGUAGGUCACAUUUAGAUAUUGAAUAUGAAGAACCACAAUGCCUAACCAUCCAACAAGAUAGUAAUAACCCCACUAAGUUUUGUUGGGUCAGCAGGUCUAGUCUAAUCAAUGCAUUGUUUGUAACAGUAUAUCUUACAACCAAGUCUAUUAUGCCACUAUAAGAAAGUCUUACUUUUGAACUCAAGCUUUUGCUGUUUAAUUACUUAUGUCCUCUCCUUCAAAAACAGCUUUUUAGUGUAAAGGCUCUUCAACCUCAAUGAUUAAUGCUUCUCCAUUAAUGGUUCAAUAAAUCCCAUUGCUGGAGAGUUUUGUUUGUAUAUUCUUUAACCCUCCCCCCAAUAUGUUGAAGAGUAAACAGAUUGAUCUAUUUUACUCACUUCAACAGAUUCGACAACUUUCGCAGUCUUUUGCACUGCACUCUAAUGUAGUGUUUGUUGACGAUCCAGAGUUCUUGCUGUUUUAUUUUGACUUGGAUAAAUAUAACACCCGAAUCUAGAAACGGUACAUGAAUGAACCGGUAUCACAUCUAAACGAGAGAAAUCCUAAAAGUAUGAAAGUGUGUUUAAGAAAGACUUAAAAGAAUUAAAAGUUGCAACCUAUACCAACAAGGAAGCAUGUGAUUAAAGAUAAAGCAUGUUGAAAGGACUCAUGGUUCGUGAGUAGAGUCUUCACUCUUAGAAGCAGUUCAAGAUAAGCAAGGGAAUUUCGACUCUUGAAUGCGGGGUGUAUUACACGAAGGAAGCGUAAGUAAAAGUGUCAGUUAUCUCUGAUUGGUAUGUGAACUGUAACAGUUAGAAUGUAUGUAUUGAUGAAAGUUUGAGGGAGUAAAGAGUGAGAAAGGAGUUGGGAAUAAUGAUUGGCACAUGGGAGUUUGGUAAGUUAUAGUUAAAACCACAUAUUUUCAUGAGAAUGGAAAAAGAAGAAAUGAUUGUAGUUGAAAAACGAGUUUCUGUUUAGAAACAGGGGAAUGGGGGGGUUUUUGCCAAAAAGCUUAGCUGUAGGGUUAUGCAGGUGGAAUUGUCAUCCAAUUAACAAACAAAGCUCAAAGCUUUGGCAAUGGAGGAAUGAGCAGUGCAUUUAUGUGGCUCCACGAAAUCCUCUCUUAUUGUCUCGUUUGCACUUCUUCAUCAUUGCUAUUCCCAUGUGGUUUUGCCUCCUCACCACAACUUUACACACAACACAAAAGUGCUUCUCUUCUAUUUUCAAUUCUAUAUUCAUCUCCAUUUCACUCAUCUUGUUUAUGCUAAUUUAUCUCCACCUUCUUUUUCUUUUGUUGUUGAUCUUGAAUUCAGUGAUUUGUUCUUGAAAAAUGUUUGAAUAUCAUUGUACUUUUAAUAUAUAAUAAACUUACUCGUAUUCACA